rnacentral:rRNA from 1 species
UGUGUAGGUGGCGCCGUAAGUCGGGUGUGAAAUUUCGGAGCUUAACUCCGAAACUGCAUUCGAUACUGCGGUGCUUGAGGACUGGAGAGGAGACUGGAAUUCAUGGUGUAGCAGUGAAAUGCGUAGAGAUCAUGAGGAAGACCAGUGGCGAAGGCGGGUCUCUGGACAGUUCCUGACACUGAGACACGAAGGCCAGGGAGCAAACG